CAAAAUCCUGGCCUCAAGCAAUCCUACUGCCUUAGCCUCCAAAGUGCUGCGAUUACAGGCAUGAGCCACUGCACCCGGCCCAAUUUCAGGUUUUUAAGGAACUGCUGGUUGUGACCAUCAGUGACCGGACAGAUGCAGAGUCUGAAGGACCAAACCCAAGGAAGUGCUGCCAUCAGGAGAGAUGUCGGAGAACCCAAAAAAUAACAACCCGCAUGUCGGGAGAUGACCCAGCAGUGAAAAGCAAUCCUAAUGAAAAAAUACUUCAGUAAAUUCAAGUAAGAAUAAAUAAUUCUUAUUCUGUAAUAAGUUCAAAACCAAGGAAAACUGUGUGUGUAAGGAUCAAUAUACAGUUGUCCUCAGCUGGUUCCAGGCCCCCCCCCACCCCUUACCAAAAUCUGCUCAUACUGAAGUCCCGAAGUUAGCCCUGCAAAGACCCUACAGAACCUGCACUUAGGAAAAGGCAGCCCUCUGAAUACCAGGGAUUCGAGUCCCU
rnacentral:lncRNA from 10 species